AGAGCGGACGCUUCGCCUUCUUUAUCCUCUCUCUCCUCUCUCUCGAACAUUCUCCCGUUCUCUGUCUCUUGGUCCGAAUGUCUCCAAUCCAACCUAUAAUCUCAGCUCUACGACCAAUAAUCGUUCUCUACAUCAGUCUUUCACUUGUACUAUAAAAUCGCGAGGUUGAUUUCAAACCCAAAUUUCAGAAAACCUAUGAGAUAAGUUAUCUGGUCUAUCUAUUUUAUACUGACUUUUUCGACUAAUUAUUUCGAUUUUCUUGCCUAUUUUGUUGCUCAUGUUAGUUUAAGAUUAGAUUAGUGUUUUCCUAUGUACAUCAAAUAGGGUGAUUUGGUUCAAAAGCUGUUUAUUUAAACUCUAGACCUUUAUGCUAUAUUUUGGUGAUUUGGUUCAAUGUUCUGUGGAUCAUGUAUGUUUAAUUAUAGUUCUUUAUUAGAAACUGGGAAUAUAAAUUCCUGUUUAUUGAGCAUGAAUUCUGUAGUUCAUGUAUCCUAUCCUAAGUUGUAAACUGAUACUAACUAAUUUAACAACUACUAAUUCUUGCAGCUUAAUGCAAUUUCAAAAAUAAUUGAUUCAGAAGAUGAAGGCUAAACAUCAGAAGGUAGUUAAAGAAAUGUAAAGACUGUUAAUGUAACAUGCAUACAUCAAGCUAUUAUCUAUAAAAUAGUAGGAUAUGUGGUUCAAAAUGAGAGCUUGAUAUCCAGCGCUUCCCGAUUAAGCCAUGUGAUACAGUACCAAAAGGAAUCCUUACUCUAGAUCCAUAGUUGGUGUAACCUUGGAGGUCAUUCAGAAGAAGAGAGCUGAAAAAACAGAAGCCAGGGAUGCUGUUAGGGAGGGCGGGAGGCUGCACUCAGAUGUAGAGGAAAAGCUGAGAAAUUUGAAAAAAAAAAAAAAAAAAUUACUUUCAAGAUAAACAUGAUAAAGAUAGAUAGAGAAGGAUUAAAUAAGUGGUAACAACCAUUUUUGAAGUAAGGUAUGCUCAGAACUAUACCUUUAAUUUUUCUGAAUAUACAUUGCAAUCCUCAACUGCAAUGCUUUUCAAGUUCAAGCUGAAUGACUUCCCCAACACCCAUGAAUACCAGCAUGGUCUGCAAUCAACUUCCGAAUCUCUACCUCAUCCAUGUACUGAGAUGGCAUGGUAUCUUCGCUGCUGUUUUUUGUCUUUUCUUUGUGUAUUUGCAGGUGGUUCGAAGUGGAUAGAUGGUGAAUUUGGGACUGCAGAUUGCUAUCAUGGGAGCUUUAUAUAGAGGCUGAACAGUGACUUUUCGAAUUUGAACUGUCUUAGAAAUAUGAAAGGCUGAUCAAAACGUUUCAUAGUCCAAGAUUACAUUCAUUAUGCUUAUGUUCUCGAUGUAUUUAUUAUUCUGAAUAUUGGGUGAUGUUCCAAGAUAAAUUACCUAGAAUACUGAUAUGCAAUGUGAACAUCAAUAAA